rnacentral:tRNA from 1 species
UGAAAUAACCCCUUAAAGCCCAAAAAAGCAGAGAUUAAUUCUCGUACCUUUUGCAUCAUGAUUAAGCCAGUAUAUUAAAGCAAAGUGAUCUUUAGUUUUUUACCCCGAAACUAGACGAGCUACUCCGAGGCAGCCUAUUAUAGGGCCAACCCGUCUCUGUGGCAAAAGAGUGGGAAGAACUCCGAGUAGAGGUGACAGACCUACCGAGCCUAGUUAUAGCUGGUUGCCUAGGAAGUGAAUAGAAGUUCAGCCCUCCGGCCCACCCCGCCCCGACUGCAAUAAGCACACUCGGCCCCGGGUUAAACGGAGGCGUUAGUCAAAGAAGGUUCAGCUUCUUUGAACAAAGAUACAACUUUUUUAGGUGGCUAAAGAUCAUAAUUUUACAAGGAGUAAUUGUUCUAGUGGGCCUAAAGGCAGCCAUCUAAACAAAAAGCGUUAAAGCUUAUACAAACACAUCAACCCUUUAAUUAUGAUAAUAUAAUCUUAUACCCCUAAAAUUACUAGGCCAUUUCAUACCCCUAUGAAAGAGACCCUGCUUAAAUGAGUAAUAAGAGGGGAAGACCCUCUCCUAGCACAUGUGUAAAUCGAAUUGGACACCCCACCGAUAUUUAACGGCCCCAGUAAAAUGAGGGUAUUGAAACUUAACACCAGUCCUUAAACUAGAAAAACAUUCAAUAUAAAUCCGUUAACCCCACACAGGAGUGCUACCUAGGAAAGACUAAAAGAUAAGGAAGGAACUCGGCAAACACAAGCCUCGCCUGUUUACCAAAAACAUCGCCUCUUGCAAGCAAAAGAAUAAGAGGUCCCGCCUGCCCUGUGACCCACAGAGUUUAACGGCCGCGGUAUUUUGACCGUGCGAAGGUAGCGCAAUCACUUGUCCUUUAAAUGAGGACCUGUAUGAAUGGCAUAACGAGGGCUUAGCUGUCUCCCCUGUCUAGUCAAUGAAAUUGAUCUCCCCGUGCAGAAGCGGGGAUGGCACCAUAAGACGAGAAGACCCUAUGGAGCUUUAGAUAAUCAAACGACCCAUUUAGAACAGCUAUAAUUAAAUAAGCUGAGCCCCCUUAAUGGCUCCCCGUUUUAUGUCUUUGGUUGGGGCGACCGUGGGGAAAAGAAAAUCCCCCAUGAGGAACAAAAACCACCCCUUUUAAAGCCAAGAGCCUACCACUCAAAGCAUCAGAAUUUCUGACCCCAAUGAUCCGGCUCAACAGCCGAUCAACGAACCGAGUUACCCUAGGGAUAACAGCGCAAUCCCCUCUCAGAGUCCAUAUCGACGAGGGGGUUUACGACCUCGAUGUUGGAUCAGGACAUCCUAAUGGUGCAGCCGCUAUUAAGGGUUCGUUUGUUCAACGAUUAAUAGUCCUACGUGAUCUGAGUUCAGACCGGAGUAAUCCAGGUCAGUUUCUAUCUAUGACUUGCUCUUUUCUAGUACGAAAGGACCGAGAAGAAAGGGCCCAUUUCACCGAUACGCCCUACCCCCACCUGAAGAAAUCAACUAAAACGAGCAAGAGGGCAAACCUAAGCUUAUUUACAUUAAAGAUUAUAAUGCGUCGGCGUGGCAGAGCUCGGUUAUUGCUAAAGAUCUAAAUCCUUUUUACGGAGGUUCAAACCCUCCCGCCGACUGUGAUUAACUGCAUGGUAUUAAUAAAUCCGCCUUCUUCACCUUUCCAAUCCCUAGUUAUUAGUCUCCCUUCAGGACUUGUUAUCAUAAUACUAUCGACCAUGUGUUUAUCCUUAAUCUUCAUUCCAAACACUUUAAAAUGAGCUAAAAAGUUUUACAAUUAUUAUAAAAUAGAAAAUAAAUCAUUUUAUAUAGUUCCCAAUAAUAAUCCCCCGGACCCUCAAAAUCCACAAAAUCCACUUAACCCCAAUCAGCUCAAUCCACCUAAUCCACCAAACCCGCCCAAUCCACCCAAUCCGCCUAAUGACCCCGCAGCACAAGGACCGCCCGUAGUAAAUGUUAUUCCACCACAAUGACACCCCCUUCGCCGCCAAGGAAGGAAGCCUACGUAAUAAAUAAUCGUAAAUCUACAUUAAUAAAUCAGAGUAACAAAGUAAGCCCCGUCUGGACCAUCGCCCUAAUUAGAAAAUUAUCCUUCUCUCUGAUUAUGUUUACACUUCUUCUUAUUUAUAUUAUUAAUCCCCUCGCCUAUAUUGUACCAGUUCUUUUAGCAGUCGCUUUCCUUACUCUUCUAGAACGGAAAGUUCUUGGCUACAUACAACUCCGUAAAGGCCCCAAUAUUGUAGGCCCCUACGGUCUUCUUCAACCUAUCGCCGAUGGUGUUAAACUAUUUAUUAAAGAGCCUAUCCGCCCCUCUACAUCUUCCCCCUUUCUAUUUCUAGCUACCCCUAUAUUAGCCUUAACACUAGCACUCACUUUAUGAGCCCCCAUACCAAUUCCAUACCCUGUUACAGAUCUUAACUUAGGCAUCCUCUUUGUUCUUGCCCUCUCCAGCUUAGCAGUUUACUCUAUUUUAGGCUCAGGUUGGGCAUCAAACUCUAAAUACGCCCUAAUCGGGGCUCUACGGGCCGUAGCCCAAACAAUUUCAUAUGAAGUAAGCCUAGGCCUAAUUCUUCUUAGCAUUAUCCUCCUUGCAGGAGGAUUCACCCUUCAAACUUUUAAUAUCGCCCAAGAAAGCAUUUGAUUAUUAGCCCCAGCCUGACCUUUAGCCGCUAUAUGGUAUAUCUCCACACUUGCUGAAACAAACCGGGCCCCUUUUGACCUUACUGAAGGUGAAUCAGAACUUGUCUCAGGCUUUAAUGUUGAAUAUGCAGGAGGCCCAUUUGCCUUAUUUUUCCUAGCAGAAUAUGCCAACAUCCUUCUCAUAAAUACCCUCUCCACUAUUCUAUUCCUUGGAGCCUCACAUAUGCCUGCCUUUCCUGAACUUACAGCUAUUAAUUUAAUAACAAAAGCUGCCCUCCUCUCCAUUAUAUUCCUUUGAGUACGAGCCUCUUACCCACGUUUUCGAUAUGAUCAACUUAUGCACUUAGUCUGAAAAAAUUUUUUGCCUAUUACCCUUGCUCUUGUGAUCUGACACCUUGCCCUCCCAAUCGCCCUUGCAAGUCUCCCACCCCAACUUUAGUAACCCGGAACCGUGCCCGAAUGUUAAGGACCACUUUGAUAGAGUGAUAAAUGGAGGUUCAAGUCCUCCCGAUUCCUUAGAAAAUAGGGGCUCGAACCCAAACUUAAGAGAUCAAAACUCUUGGUGCUUCCACUACACCACUUUCUAGCAAGAUAAGCUAAAUAAGCUUUUGGGUUCAUACCCCAACAAUAUCGGUUAAAAUCCUUUUCCUGCUAAUGAGCCCAUAUAUUUUGUGUACCCUUCUCUUUAGCCUUGGAUUGGGAACAACAAUCACAUUCGCCAGCUCUCAUUGGCUCCUUGCUUGGAUAGGGCUUGAAAUUAAUACCUUAGCCAUUAUUCCCCUUAUAACUCAACACCAUCACCCUCGAGCAGUAGAAGCUGCUACCAAAUAUUUCCUAACACAAGCAACAGCAGCCGCUUUAAUUUUAUUUGCAAGCACCACUAACGCCUGACUUACAGGAGAAUGAGAUAUUCAACAGCUAUCACACCCAUUAGCUAGCACUUUAGUUAUUCUUGCCUUAGCCUUAAAAAUCGGUCUAGCACCAGUCCACUUCUGACUCCCUGAAGUACUCCAAGGGUUAGAUCUAACUACAGGUCUUAUCCUCUCCACCUGACAAAAGCUCGCACCCUUCGCAUUAAUUCUUCAACUAUCCUCUACAAACCCCAUCCUUUUAACCUCUUUAGGCCUUCUAUCCACUCUUGUAGGGGGAUGAGGAGGUCUUAACCAAACCCAAUUACGUAAAAUCCUUGCCUAUUCAUCCAUUGCACACCUUGGAUGAAUAAUUCUUAUUCUACAAUUCGCACCCUCCCUAACUCUCCUCUCUCUUAUAUUAUAUAUUAUUAUAACAUCUGCAAUGUUUCUUACCCUUAAAAUAAACAACGCCACAAAUAUUAAUAUAUUAGCAACAGCAUGAUCUAAAGCCCCUAUUAUUAUAGCUCUUAUCCCCCUCUCCCUCCUCUCCCUUGGGGGCCUACCACCACUUACAGGAUUUAUACCUAAAUGACUUAUUUUACAAGAAUUAACGAAACAAGGACUCCCCCUCACCGCUACUAUUGCGGCCCUUUCCGCCCUCCUAAGUUUAUAUUUUUAUCUCCGACUAUGCUACGCAAUAACUUUAACAAUUUCACCAAACACACUUACCUCCCCUGCCCCCUGACGACUUCCAACUCUUCAACUUACCCUCCCCCUCUCCUUGCUAAUAAUAAUAGCUAUUAUACUUCUUCCACUAACCCCCACAAUUCUAACCCUUCUCAACCUAUAGUUAGGGACUUAGGCUAAAAUAAGACCAAGGGCCUUCAAAGCCCUAAGCGAGAGUGAAAACCUCCCAGUCCCUAUAAGACCUGCAGGAUUCUAUCCCACAUCUUCUGCAUGCAAAGCAGACACUUUGAUUAAGCUAAAGCCUUUCUAGAAAGGAAGGCCUCGAUCCUACAAAAACUUAGUUAACAGCUAAGCGCCCUAACCAGCGAGCAUCUUUCUACUUUCCCCCGCUGUAUAGCGGGCAAAGCGGGGGAAAGCCCCGUCAGGCUUCUAGCCUGCUCCUUCAGAUUUGCAAUCUGACGUUUCCGCAACUGCAGGGCUUGAUACGGAGAGGAUUUAAACCUCUGUUUGUGGAGCUACAAUCCACCGCUUAAUCUCUCAGCCACCCUACCUGUGACAAUCACGCGCUGACUUUUCUCAACAAACCACAAAGAUAUCGGCACCCUGUAUCUUCUAUUCGGUGCCUGAGCUGGAAUAGUAGGCACAGCUUUAAGCCUUUUAAUCCGGGCAGAACUUAGCCAACCCGGGGCCCUUUUAGGGGAUGAUCAAAUUUAUAAUGUAAUCGUCACUGCCCACGCCUUCGUAAUAAUCUUCUUUAUAGUAAUGCCUAUUAUAAUCGGCGGUUUCGGAAAUUGAUUAGUUCCAUUAAUAAUCGGAGCCCCUGAUAUAGCCUUCCCCCGAAUAAAUAAUAUAAGCUUCUGACUACUCCCCCCAUCUUUUCUUCUUUUAUUAUCCUCCUCAGCAGUAGAAGCAGGGGCCGGCACGGGUUGAACUGUUUAUCCUCCCCUUGCUAGUAACCUAGCACAUGCUGGAGCUUCAGUUGACUUAACUAUUUUUUCUCUUCACUUGGCAGGAAUCUCUUCUAUUUUAGGGGCCAUUAACUUUAUUACAACUAUUAUCAAUAUAAAACCUCCAGCUAUUACACAGUAUCAAACCCCUUUAUUCGUCUGAUCAGUCUUAAUUACUGCAGUACUUCUACUUCUUGCCCUCCCUGUUUUAGCAGCAGGAAUUACUAUACUCCUGACAGACCGAAAUUUAAAUACCACCUUUUUUGACCCAGCAGGUGGAGGAGACCCGAUUCUUUAUCAACACUUAUUCUGAUUCUUCGGACACCCAGAAGUUUACAUUUUAAUUCUCCCCGGCUUUGGCAUAAUCUCACAUAUCGUCGCCUACUACUCAGGCAAAAAAGAACCCUUUGGGUAUAUAGGCAUGGUUUGAGCAAUAAUGGCAAUUGGCCUUCUUGGCUUCAUUGUCUGAGCCCAUCAUAUAUUUACAGUUGGUAUAGAUGUAGACACGCGGGCCUACUUUACAUCCGCCACAAUAAUUAUUGCUAUCCCCACAGGAGUGAAAGUCUUUAGUUGACUUGCCACCCUGCACGGUGGGACUAUUAAAUGAGAAACUCCUAUAUUAUGAGCGCUCGGUUUUAUUUUCUUAUUUACUGUAGGAGGUUUAACAGGAAUCGUUUUAUCAAAUUCAUCAUUAGAUAUUGUAUUACACGACACAUAUUAUGUUGUAGCACAUUUCCAUUAUGUCCUUUCUAUAGGAGCUGUGUUUGCAAUUAUAGCAGGCUUCGUUCACUGAUUCCCCUUAUUUUCUGGUUAUACCCUCCAUAGCGCAUGAACUAAAGUGCACUUUGGAGUAAUAUUUAUCGGCGUAAAUGUCACUUUUUUCCCGCAGCAUUUCCUCGGACUUGCAGGCAUGCCCCGACGAUACUCAGACUAUCCCGACGCCUAUACACUAUGAAAUACAGUCUCCUCAAUUGGAUCUAUAAUCUCUCUUGUCGCCGUAAUCAUAUUUUUAUUUAUUCUUUGAGAGGCCUUCGCUGCCAAACGAGAAGUUGCACACGUGGAUAUAACAUCUACAAAUGUAGAAUGACUUCAUGGCUGCCCACCCCCUUACCACACAUUUGAAGAGCCUGCAUUUGUUCAAGUAAAAUCAUACUAAACGAGAAAGGAGGGAAUUGAACCCCCAUUUAAUGGUUUCAAGCCACUCGCAUAACCGCUCUGCCACUUUCUUAAUGAGACACUAGUAGAACGCGCCUAUUACACUGCCUUGUCAAGGCAGAGCUGUGGGUUGAAACCCCACGUGUUUCAAGCACCAAGCUUAAUGGCACAUCCCUCACAACUCGGAUUCCAAGACGCGGCCUCCCCUGUAAUAGAAGAACUACUCCACUUCCAUGACCACGCUUUAAUAAUUGUCCUACUUAUUAGCACAUUUGUUCUUUAUAUUCUUGUGGCUAUAGUUUCCACUACUUUAACAGAUAAAUAUAUUUUAGAUUCUCAAGAAAUUGAAAUUAUUUGAACCAUCCUCCCUGCCGUAAUUUUAAUUUUAAUUGCCCUCCCUUCCUUACGGAUUCUUUACCUAAUAGACGAAAUUAGCGACCCUCACCUUACAAUUAAAGCGAUAGGCCAUCAGUGAUACUGAAGCUAUGAGUAUACAGACUAUGAAGACCUUAGCUUCGACGCAUAUAUAAUUCCUACACAAGACCUUUUACCAGGACAGUUCCGCCUUCUAGAGGCGGAUCACCGGAUAGUAAUUCCUGUUGAAUCUCCUAUUCGCAUUCUAGUAUCAGCCGAAGAUGUCCUUCACUCUUGGGCAGUCCCAGCACUAGGAGUUAAAAUAGACGCAGUCCCAGGACGUCUAAACCAGACAGCUUUUAUUACAUCUCGCCCAGGGGUAUUUUAUGGUCAAUGUUCCGAAAUCUGCGGAGCAAACCACAGCUUUAUACCCAUCGUUGUUGAAGCAGUGCCAUUAGAGCACUUUGAAACAUGAUCUUCUUUAAUACUUGAAGACGCCUCACUGUGAAGCUAAAUUUAGGGAUCAGCAUUAGCCUUUUAAGCUAAAGAAUGGUGGCUCCUAACCACCCCCAGUGACAUGCCUCAGUUAAACCCUAGCCCUUGGUUCGCCAUCCUGGUAUUCUCAUGACUUGUUUUCCUAAUUGUAAUCCCACCAAAAGUCGUAGGACAUGUUUUUCCCAACGACCCUGCAGCACAAAAUGUAGAAAAACCCGCACACUCCCCUUGAUCCUGACCAUGAUACUAAAUUUCUUCGAUCAAUUUAUAAGCCCUUCACUCCUAGGGAUCCCCCUUAUUGCCCUUGCAAUAACGCUCCCAUGAAUCCUUUUCCCAACCCCCUCCCUACGCUGAUAUGAUAGCCGCCUUUUAGCCCUUCAAAAUUGGUUUAUAAACCGAUUUACUCAACAACUUCUUCUUCCUUUAAACCUCGGAGGACAUAAAUGAGCAGCCCUACUUACUUCUUUAAUACUUUACCUUAUAGCAUUAAAUAUACUAGGCCUCCUCCCAUAUACAUAUACACCAACAACACAACUCUCUUUAAACCUUGGUUUAGCCGUCCCUCUUUGAUUAGCCACUGUUUUAAUUGGACUUCGGAAUGAACCCACCCACGCCCUAGCCCAUCUUCUUCCAGAAGGCACUCCUACCCCCCUGAUCCCAAUCCUAAUUAUUAUUGAAACAAUUAGCCUUUUCAUCCGACCAUUGGCUCUAGGAGUCCGACUAACAGCUAAUUUAACUGCUGGACAUCUUCUUAUACAACUAAUCGCAACAGCCGCUUUCGUUCUUCUCCCUAUUAUGCCUACAGUUGCCAUCCUCACGGGGGUCGUUCUUUUUCUACUAACUCUUUUAGAAAUUGCUGUAGCAAUAAUUCAAGCAUACGUAUUUGUUCUCCUAUUAAGCCUUUAUUUACAAGAAAACGUCUAAUGGCCCACCAAGCUCACGCAUACCACAUAGUAGACCCAAGCCCCUGACCACUCACAGGCGCAAUCGCCGCCCUCUUAAUAACCUCCGGGCUCGCAACUUGAUUUCACUAUAACUCAACAACUCUUAUAACCUUAGGACUUAUCCUCCUUUUAUUAACAAUAUAUCAAUGAUGACGAGAUAUUAUCCGAGAGGGGACAUUUCAAGGACAUCACACACCCCCUGUUCAAAAAGGCCUUCGAUACGGUAUAGUUCUUUUUAUUACCUCUGAAGUCUUCUUCUUCCUUGGGUUUUUCUGAGCCUUUUAUCAUUCUAGCCUCGCUCCAACACCUGAGCUAGGCGGAUGCUGACCACCAACGGGCAUCACUGCUCUUGACCCCUUCGAAGUCCCCUUACUUAAUACUGCUGUUCUCCUUGCCUCCGGUGUAACUGUUACGUGAGCUCACCACAGUAUUAUAGAAGGGGAACGGAAACAGGCGAUUCAAUCACUUACUCUUACUAUUAUUUUAGGUUUCUACUUCACCUUCCUCCAAGGAAUAGAGUAUUAUGAAGCCCCUUUUACAAUCGCUGACGGAGUUUAUGGUUCAACAUUUUUUGUUGCAACCGGAUUUCAUGGCCUUCAUGUAAUUAUUGGCUCUAUUUUUUUAGCUGUCUGCCUCCUACGACAAAUUAAAUUUCAUUUUACAUCAAAACACCAUUUCGGAUUUGAAGCGGCUGCAUGAUACUGACACUUCGUAGACGUUGUCUGACUAUUCCUCUAUAUCUCCAUCUACUGAUGAGGCUCAUAAUCUUUCUAGUAUAAAUGUUAGUACCUGUGACUUCCAAUCACCCAGACCUGGUUAAAACCCAGGGAAAGAUAAUGAACCUAGUCUCAACAGUAUUGUUAAUUGCCCUAACCCUAUCUUCUGUACUAGCCUUAAUCUCCUUUUGACUCCCCCAGCUUAAUCCAGACACCGAAAAACUAUCCCCUUAUGAGUGCGGAUUCGACCCCCUUGGGUCGGCACGCCUCCCAUUUUCCUUACGAUUUUUUCUAGUUGCUAUUCUAUUUCUCCUUUUUGACUUAGAGAUUGCCCUCCUUCUCCCACUCCCAUGGGGCGAUCAACUUGCUAUCCCCACCUACACAUUUUACUGAGCAACAACUGUUUUAACCCUUCUCACCCUUGGAUUAGCCUACGAGUGAACACAAGGGGGGUUAGAAUGAGCCGAAUAGGUAAUUAGUCCAAAGAAAGACAUUUGAUUUCGGCUCAAAAGAUCGUGGUUUAAUUCCACAAUUACCUUAUGACCCCCACUCACUUUGCCUUCUCAUCAGCUUUUAUAUUAGGCCUUAUAGGGCUCGCAUUUCAUCGAACCCAUUUAUUAUCCGCACUCCUCUGCCUUGAAGGUAUAAUACUCUCCCUCUUUAUUGCCCUUUCCCUUUGAACCUUGCAGUUAGAAGCAACCGGCUACUCCGUGGCACCAAUGCUUUUACUCGCCUUUUCAGCCUGUGAAGCAAGCGCAGGCCUAGCCCUCCUAGUUGCAACCGCACGAACGCAUGGUACAGACCACCUUCAAAGCCUAAAUCUUUUACAGUGUUAAAAAUUCUUCUUCCAACACUCAUGCUUUUCCCAACAAUUUGAUUAGCCCCUAAAAAAUGAUUGUGAACUAUUUCUCUUACACAAAGUCUACUAAUCGCUCUUAUUAGCCUUUCUUGAUUUAAAAACUCAUCAGAGACUGGAUGAACCUCUAUUAAUAUAUAUAUAGGCACAGACCCUUUAUCAACCCCUCUACUCGUACUCACUUGCUGACUUCUACCACUUAUAAUUCUUGCCAGUCGUAAUCAUAUUUCCCCCGAACCAAUUAACCGCCAACGAACAUAUAUUUCUUUAUUAACCUCCCUACAAGUUUUCCUAAUUAUAGCAUUCGGAGCUACAGAAAUUAUUAUGUUUUAUGUCAUAUUUGAAGCCACCCUUGUCCCUACAUUAUUUAUUAUUACCCGAUGAGGUAACCAAGCAGAACGCCUGAACGCAGGAACAUACUUCCUAUUCUAUACACUAGCAGGCUCCCUGCCACUACUAGUAGCCCUCCUUCUCCUCCAAAAUGAUACGGGCACCCUCUCUAUAUUAACCCUUCAAUAUAAUAACCCCCUAAUAUUAAAUACCUGAGGAGAUAAAAUAUGAUGAGCCGCCUGUUUACUAGCCUUUUUAGUUAAAAUACCUUUAUAUGGGGUCCAUCUAUGGCUACCUAAAGCACAUGUUGAAGCACCCGUCGCCGGAUCUAUAGUACUUGCUGCAGUUUUAUUAAAACUAGGAGGGUACGGAAUAAUGCGCAUAAUAUUAAUCCUCGACCCCCUUUCUAAAGAACUAGCCUACCCAUUUAUUGUUCUUGCCCUUUGAGGUAUUAUUAUGACCGGCUCUAUCUGUUUGCGUCAAACAGACUUAAAAUCACUUAUCGCCUAUUCGUCUGUUAGCCAUAUAGGUUUAGUUGCAGGAGGAAUCUUAAUCCAAACACCCUGAGGAUUUACAGGCGCUUUAAUUUUAAUAAUUGCUCAUGGCCUGGCAUCCUCUGCCCUCUUCUGCCUAGCUAAUACUAGCUACGAACGAACACACAGCCGAACUAUACUACUAGCACGAGGCCUUCAAAUGGUACUCCCUUUAAUAGCAACCUGAUGAUUUAUUGCCAGCCUAGCUAAUCUAGCACUACCCCCCCUCCCCAACUUAAUAGGUGAGCUAAUAAUUAUCUCCUCUUUAUUUAACUGAUCUUACUGAUCUAUUAUUUUAACAGGAACUGGCACCUUAAUCACCGCAAGUUAUUCUCUAUAUCUAUUCCUAAUAACUCAACGAGGCCCAAUACCUCUACAUAUGCUUGCCUUAGACCCCUCUCACACUCGCGAACACUUACUUAUUACCCUUCACCUUUUCCCCCUUGUCCUUUUAAUCUUAAAACCAGAGUUAAUUUGAGGCUGAUGCUUUUGUAGAUAUAGUUUAAUAAAAACAUUAGAUUGUGAUUCUAAAAAUAAGGGUUAAAAUCCCCUUAUCCACC